UACGUAGGGGGCAAGCGUUGUCCGGAUUUAUUGGGCGUAAAGAGCGUGUAGGCGGCCAGGCAGGUCCGCUGUGAAAACUCGAGGCUCAACCUCGAGAGGUCGGUGGAAACCGUUUGGCUAGAGUCCGGAAGAGGAGAGUGGAAUUCCCGGUGUAGCGGUGAAAUGCGCAGAUAUCGGGAAGAACACCCGUGGCGAAGGCGGCUCUCUGGGACGGUACUGACGCUGAGACGCGAAAGCGUGGGGAGCGAACAGG
rnacentral:rRNA from 1 species